GAAUGCGAUACUUGGUGUGAUUGCAGAAUCCCGUGAACCAUCGAGUCUUUGAACGCAAGUUGCGCCCGAAGCCAUUAGGUUGAGGGCACGCCUGCCUGGGUGUCACACAUCGUUACCCUAAAGCAAAACGUCUCAUGUGCGUGUGCUGCAGGGUGGAAGCUGACCUCCCGUGGGGCACGACUCUCGCGGCUGGUUGAAAAUGGAGUUCACGGUUGAGAAUGCCGUGAUAAAAUGGUGGAUGAGCGUUGCUCGAGACCAAUCGCGUGCUACUCAGUUAAUUUUGGACUCUUUGACCCAGAUGCGUCCUCGGACGCUCCCAACGAGACCUCAGGUCAGGCGGGGCUACCCGCUGAGUUUAAGCAUAUCAAUAAGCGGAGGAA
rnacentral:rRNA from 1 species